UUGCGAGGGGCCCCGCGCAGGCGCAGAGCUGAGCGCCAGAUCACCGCACGUCUUCGCCGCCAGGAGAGGUGAGGGUUCGGUGAGAGAGGAGAGGUGGUAGCGGACAUUCGGGGGUUAAGGGUCAAGAUGAUGGUCAGAUGAGCUGAGGGGUGGGCCUUCUGCCGGCUGGAAACCCGAGUAGAGCGUAUGCCUUCGAACUGGGCAGUCCGAGAAGGCCUCGACCGGAGCAGCCGGGAGCAUACAGGGACUCGCAGGAGCCUGAGGGGCGACGAAGACGGCGCUGCGCAGGCGCGGUGUGACCAGCGGGCCCGCGCAGGCGCAGUCUGGCGGCGGCCCCUGAGCACGCGCGGAGUGGACGCCCGUGGUCGGCAGGCGGGUUGAGGAGGCUCGUCUACUGUGUCAGUCACUCGUCACCUCGUGCACCAAGAGGAAGGCGUCCUGGAGCUGCAUUCUUCCUGCGUGGGCCAUGGGGACGUGAGUGGGAGGAGUGGAGAUGUGGGGUCAGUUUGCAAGGAAAAAGAAGUCGUUCAGACGGCUGGUCCCUGGAGAGGCGAUUUACUGCAUAAAUGGCGAAAUCGAAGGAUGAACGCUGAUGGUGGCAGUGAUGGAGUUUGAGUCUGGGAGCCUCAGGGCCUGAGCUGGGUUCACUCUGCGUAAGAAGAGGAGGCGGGGUUCCAGGGAGUCCGUCCUUCCCCAUUUGCUGGGCAUCCACGCUUGGAGGGAAUCCCCACCAGGCAGAGCAGUGCUGCGCUUGCCUGCGUCCUUUGUGACGGCUCCAUCCUUGCAGGGCAGUUGAUAAAAAGGGCCCUUUCUGUGUGCACAUGGGCACAUGUUACACCCAUUCCCAGUGGAGCUCCAGGGGCUAAAAAUAACCACGUGUUUUCUGUUUUAUCCAGAAAAGAGGAAAUGUGCAGUGUUAUUUCUUAACAUUUACUAUUUUGGAAAACUUGAAUUUUUUCCACACGUAUUUUUAAAAUGUCUUUGGAGCUGUCCUUGGAGGAAAAGACAUGAUGCAGAUUUCACCAAGGGUCCGUCUGCUUUGUU